AGCUUCAUUGCUCAGUGGUAGAGCGUUUGCACCAGAAUAGCAAAGUCAUCGGCUCGAAUCCCAUUGGAGCCU